UUUAAUAAAGUUCUGCCCUUAAUAAAUUUUUAAUGAUUGACUAGCUAUCACUGAUCAGCUUACAUAUUUUAAAAUCAUUAACAUAAAUAUUUCAAAUAUUGUUUUAAUAACUGGGCAAAUGUGUCAAUGAUGCAAAAAUGAACUCUACACAAAAUAAGCAACCCUUCUCUUCCCACAAUUUCAAAUUCCUCAUUGGGGCAUUUGAUUAGGACUAUGAUGCAUGAUGCUUGUUUCUUAAACAAUAGUUUAUAAUAAUAUAUUACACUGGGYUUUUGAGCUUAUGGCAUAUUUUAUAGUUUAACAUCCUCGUUUAUGGACUAAUUUACUUUCAACUUACUGUCACCUCAUGGUAAAUUUUCUGAUAUACUCUAGCAAACCCAUAUAUUACAGACAAUAAAGUAAAUUCUUUACAACAUUUGCAACAUAGGUCCCUUAGUGCCAUGUUCGUAGAGCCAGAAAACUUCCUCUUUUGGUGCUCACAAAGCCUGGUACCUUAAAGACCAAAGACAGUAAGUCUCUAUUCUUCUUCUUCUUCUUCCUUUUUUUUUUCCGAAUGCGAUGCAUCUUUUAUCCACAUUUCCUUUUUUUUUUUGCAUUAAAUUAUAUAUUUAGAUCAUUGAAAAGAAAGAAAAUUAUAUUUAAUUGGUCAAAUAAAUAAAGCCAAAUAUAAGUUGCAAUGAAAGGAAUGCCUAAAGCGUAAAUAAACCGUAUAGUUUCCUAUUUAGACCCUAGUCAUGUUUUGUGUCAGUUUUAUGUAUUCAACGAACAUGGGGGAAAAUUAGAUAAUAGCAAACUGCAGUGUACAAASAACGAUUACAACAAUUUUCAACCCGGUCAUAUAUUAGAUGGUACAUGAAAUUGCUUCACAGUAAAAUGUGCUGCUUUAAGUAUUUAAACCAAGACACUAAGGUCUUUUCUCUCUUUUGGAAUUUUGCUGCCAAUAAUCAAUGUUAAAGCCAAUGUUGUAUUUUACCAGUGUUGGUUUUGAAACGUGCCUUCUAGAAGUUACAUGCUGUGAUGGAGUAUGACAAAUAAGGAUAGAUUAGUUUGUAAUAGAGCUGUUUAAGAUAUUUUAAACAAAGAUAAUGUCCUAAUUUUAAGAAAAGGCUAGCGUCUCUGGAACAAAUGUAUGCUAUGCUGCGUUUCUACAUUAAAUUAAUUCAAUUAAUGAUAUUUAUUUUGGUCCUGCAGUCCUCGCAAGAUUUUCCAAGAAAGGGGCUGAAGGAUUAUCUUUUGCUUUYCUGAAGAAAACAAACUCGUUGUUGUAAAAUCACUAAACAACUACAACACAGAGCAACACAACACUGGUUUGGAAUAUGCAAAGGAGAUUCUGGAAACAUACAGAGUGAACCAGUUGUUGAGGUUGAAAUACACAAAUACACUAUCAAGUGUACAUCAC